UGGAAUGCAGGACGUCCCGUUAAAGUUGAAUUUCAGGUAAUGAGAACGUAACAUGAUAAAAAUAACUAAGGUUCCUGCAACCAAAGAGCUCACAUUCUAGAGGGGCUGACAGAUGAUACACAGACAAACAUGGAGUGUGCUGAUCGGUGCUGGGAAGAAAAAACCAGUUAAGGGAGAAGAGAGACUGGAAAGUGCUGUUUUCUAAAGGGUGCUCAGAGAACAACUCACCUAAAGAAAACAUUUGAGGAGAACCUGAAUGAAAAAAAGAUGGAAACAACAAAAACAAGUAACUGAAAAGAAAUGACUUUAUUAUUCUCAAAUAAGGCACAUCAAGUUCUGUGUAUCUUUCCCAGAAAAGUAAAUUUCACAUUCUUGCAGCAAAUGGAACAUGAAACAAUUGAAAGGCUCCAGUGAGAUAUCUGUUCAAACUCUGCCAGCUGCUGUCACUUUAAACAGAAGUCUCAGAAAUAGUCUCAUAUAUGAAGGGCUGAGCCUCUCAUGGUAAUAUGUAAAACGUGGCUUUGGAUGAAGAACACAGGGGCGGUAGAGUAACUCUUUCUGACUGCUCUCUGGGUCUCUUGGUGUCCUGAGAUUUCAGCCUACUUAUUGUCAAAAUAUCAAAGACUACCCCAGCCUGGAAAUGGGAGACAUCUGUGCUUUUGGCAAGAACCUCAUUCACUUAGAACACAUUGCCUCAUUAGAUGACCUCAGAGUCACGGGCAGGACCCAGGACUGUCAAGAUACUGAAACAGGAUGUCCAGGUAUGACAUUGUGAUUUAUAAGAAAUAUCUCUUUGGUCUUCAUCCCCAUUUAGGCACAGAAGCUCCUAAAAUUAUUGUAGUUUCCUAAGUGGUGAGAGUGAUGAAGGUGUCUUUUGCUAUGUCCCACCCCCAACCCCAACCUCUGGGGAGAGGGGAGGGGCUGGAGAUUGAGUUCACUCACCAGUGGCCAAUGGCUUAAUCUCUUGUGCCUAUGUAACGAACCCUCCAUAAAACCUGAAAAAGACGGGGUUCGGAGAGCUCGGGUAGGUGAACACAUGGAGGUGCUGGGAGAGUGGCACAGGAGAGGGCAUGGAAGCUCGUGCCCUUCCCCCAUACCUUGCCCUACGCAUCUCCUCCAUCUGGCUGUUCUUGAGUUAUAUCCUUUUAUAAUAAACCAGUAAUCUAGU